rnacentral:rRNA from 1 species
UACGAAGGGGGCUAGCGUUGCUCGGAAUCACUGGGCGUAAAGGGUGCGUAGGCGGAUCUUUAAGUCAGGGGUGAAAUCCCGAGGCUCAACCUCGGAACUGCCUUUGAUACUGGGGAUCUCGAGUCCGGGAGAGGUGAGUGGAACUGCGAGUGUAGAGGUGAAAUUCGUAGAUAUUCGCAAGAACACCAGUGGCGAAGGCGGCUCACUGGCCCGGAACUGACGCUGAGGUGCGAAGGCCAGGGGAGCAAACGGG